rnacentral:rRNA from 1 species
GAUGAACGCUGGCGGCGUGCCUAAUACAUGCAAGUCGAGCGAACAGACGAGGAGCUUGCUCCCCUGACGUUAGCGGCGGACGGGUGAGUAACACGUGGAUAACCUACUUAUAAGACUGGGAUAACUUCGGGAAACAGGAGCUAAUACCGGAUAAUAUAUUGAACCGCAUGGUUCAAUAGUGAAAGACGGUUUUGCUGUCACUAAUAGCUGGAUCCGCGCCGCAUUAGCUAGUUGGUAAGGUAACGGCUUACCAAGGCAACGAUGCGUAGCCGACCUGAGAGGGUGAUCAGCCACACUGGAACUGAGACACGGUCCAGACUCCUACGGGAGGCAGCAGUAGGGAAUCUUCCGCAAUGGGCGAAAGCUUGACGGAGCAACGCCGCGUGAGUGAUGAAGGUCUUCGGAUCGUAAAACUCUGUUAUUAGGGAAGAACAAAUGUGUAAGUAACUAUGCACGUCUUGACGGUACCUAAUCAGAAAGCCACGGCUAACUACGUG